UGGAACUGCAUUUGAUACUGGCAAACUAGAGUAUGGUAGAGGAAUGGGGAAUUUCUGGUGUAGCGGUGAAAUGCGUAGAGAUCAGAAGGAACACCAAUGGCGAAGGCAACAUUCUGGACCAAUACUGACACUGAGGGACGAAAGCGUGGGGAUCAAACAGGAUUAGAUACCCUGGUAGUCCACGCUGUAAACGAUGAGUACUAGCUGUUGGAUUCGGUGUAAAGGAUCUAGUGGCGUAGCUAACGCGUUAAGUACUCCGCCUGGGGACUACGGCCGCAAGGCUAAAACUCAAAGGAAUUGACGGGGACCCGCACAAGCGGUGGAGCAUGUGGUUUAAUUCGAUGCAACGCGAAGAACCUUACCUGGUCUUGACAUCCUGCGAACUUUCUAGAGAUAGAUUGGUGCCUUCGGGAACGCAGUGACAGGUGCUGCACGGCUGUCGUCAGCUCGUGUUGUGAAAUGUUGGGUUAAGUCCCGCAACGAGCGCAACCCCUAUUGAUAGUUACCAUCAUUAAGUUGGGUACUCUAUUGAGACUGCCGCUGACAAGGCGGAGGAAGGUGGGGACGACGUCAAGUCAUCAUGGCCCUUACGACCAGGGCUACACACGUGCUACAAUGGGUAUUACAGAGGGCAGCGAAGUAGCGAUAUGGAGCGAAACUCAGAAAGGUACUCUUAGUCCGGAUUGCAGUCUGCAACUCGACUGCAUGAAGUCGGAAUCGCUAGUAAUCGCAGGUCAGAAUACUGCGGUGAAUACGUUCCCGGGUCUUGUACACACCGCCCGUCACACCAUGGGAGUGGGUUGCUCCAGAAGUAGAUAGCUUAACGAAUGGGC
rnacentral:rRNA from 1 species